AACGCGAAGAACCUUACCUACCCUUGACAUCCACAGAAUUCUGCAGAGAUGCGGAAGUGCCGAAAGGAACUGUGAGACAGGUGCUGCAUGGCUGUCGUCAGCUCGUGUUGUGAGAUGUUGGGUUAAGUCCCGUAACGAGCGCAACCCUUAUCUUUAGUUGCCAUCAGGUAAAGCUGGGGACUCUAAAGAGACUGCUGGUGAUGAACCGGAGGAAGGCGGGGACGACGUCAAGUCAUCAUGGCCUUUAUGGGUAGGGCUACACACGUGCUACAAUGGGCAGUACAGAGGGUUGCCAACCCGCGAGGGGGAGCCAAUCCCAGAAAGCUGCUCGUAGUCCGGAUCGGAGUCUGCAACUCGACUCCGUGAAGUCGGAAUCGCUAGUAAUCGCGAAUCAGAACGUCGCGGUGAAUACGUUCCCGGGCCUUGUACACACCGGAGUGC
rnacentral:rRNA from 1 species